UAGACUUCAAAUCAGGUGGGACUACCCGCUGAACUUAAGCAUAUCAAUAAGCGGAGGAAAAGAAAAUAACUAUGAUUCCCUUAGUAACGGCGAGUGAACAGGGAAAAGCCCAAAUUUGUAAUCUGGCAUCUUUUACAGGUGUCCG
rnacentral:rRNA from 2 species